rnacentral:rRNA from 1 species
UACGAAGGGUGCAAGCGUUACUCGGAAUUACUGGGCGCAAAGCGUGCGUAGGCGGUUUGUUAAGUCUGUUGUGAAAGCCCCGGGCUCAACCUGGGAAUGGCAAUGGAAACUGGCGAGCUAGAGUACGGUAGAGGAGAGUGGAAUUCCCGGUGUAGCAGUGAAAUGCGUAGAGAUCGGGAGGAACAUCAGUUGCGAAGGCGGCUCUCUGGACCAGUACUGACGCUGAGGCACGAAAGCGUGGGGAGCAAACAGG